ACUCAAAUGAAUAGACGGGGGCCCGCACAAGCGGAGGAGCAUGUGGUUUAAUUCGAUGAUACGCGAGGAACCUUACCAGGGCUUGAAAGUUAGUGAAUGUCGUAGAAAUAUGACAGCAAGCAAUUGCACGAAACUAGGUGCUGCAUGGCUGUCGUCAGCUCGUGCCGUGAGGUGUUAGGUUAAGUCCUGUAACGAGCGCAACCCCUAUUAUUAGUUGCCAGCGGGUAAUGCCGGGGACUCUAAUAAGACUGCCCGCGCAAGCGGUGAGGAAGGUGGGGAUGACGUCAAGUCAUCACGGCCCUUACGUCCUGGGCUACACACGUGCUACAAUGGGUGGUACAGAGGGCUGCUACACAGCAAUGUGAUGCUAAUCUCAAAAACCAUUCUCAGUUCGGAUAGAGGUCUGCAACUCGACCUCUUGAAGCUGGAUUCGCUAGUAAUCGCAGAUCAGCAAUGCUGCGGUGAAUACGUUCCCGGGCCUUGUACACACCGCCCGU
rnacentral:rRNA from 1 species